AAUAGAUACCCGGGUAGUCCACGCCGUAAACGAUGAGUGCUAAGUGUUAGAGGGUUUCCGCCCUUUAGUGCUGCAGCUAACGCAUUAAGCACUCCGCCUGGGGAGUACGGCCGCAAGGCUGAAACUCAAAGGAAUUGACGGGGGCCCGCACAAGCGGUGGAGCAUGUGGUUUAAUUCGAAGCAACGCGAAGAACCUUACCAGGUCUUGACAUCCUCUGACCUCCCUGGAGACAGGGCUUUCCCCUUCGGGGGACAGAGUGACAGGUGGUGCAUGGUUGUCGUCAGCUCGUGUCGUGAGAUGUUGGGUUAAGUCCCGCAACGAGCGCAACCCUUGACCUUAGUUGCCAGCAUUCAGUUGGGCACUCUAAGGUGACUGCCGGUGACAAACCGGAGGAAGGUGGGGAUGACGUCAAAUCAUCAUGCCCCUUAUGACCUGGGCUACACACGUGCUACAAUGGAUGGUACAAAGGGCUGCGAGACCGCGAGGUUAAGCCAAUCCCAGAAAACCAUUCCCAGUUCGGAUUGCAGGCUGCAACCCG
rnacentral:rRNA from 1 species